rnacentral:rRNA from 1 species
CCUACGGGAGGCAGCAGUGGGGAAUAUUGGGCAAUGGGCGCAAGCCUGACCCAGCAACGCCGCGUGAAGGAAGAAGGCUUUCGGGUUGUAAACUUCUUUUCUCAGGGACGAAGCAAGUGACGGUACCCGAGGAAUAAGCCACGGCUAACUACGUGCCAGCAGCCGCGGUAAUACGUAGGUGGCAAGCGUUAUCCGGAUUUACUGGGUGUAAAGGGCGUGUAGGCGGGGACGUAAGUCAGAUGUGAAAACCACGGGCUCAACCUGUGGUCUGCAUUUGAAACUGUGAUACUUGAGUUCUGGAGAGGCAGACGGAAUUCCUAGUGUAGCGGUGAAAUGCGUAGAUAUUAGGAGGAACACCAGUGGCGAAGGCGGUCUGCUGGACAGCAACUGACGCUGAGGCGCGAAAGCGUGGGGAGCAAACAGGAUUAGAUACCCCAGUAGUC